rnacentral:piRNA from 1 species
UGACUAUGUCCUUGAAAAUGUAGGUGG